rnacentral:rRNA from 1 species
GAUGAACGCUGGCGGCGUGCCUAAUACAUGCAAGUUGAGCGCUGAGAUUAGGUGCUUGUACCAAUUGGGUUAGCGGCGGACGGGUGAGUAACGCGUGGAUAAUCUGCCUUUGAGACGGGGACAACAUCGGGAAACGAAUGCUAAUACCGCAUAAUAAAUUUAACCACAUGAUUCAAGAGUGAAAGAUGCCAUUGCAGCACUCAAAAGUGAGCCCGCGUGGUAUUAGGUAGUUGGGAAGGAAAAGGCUUACCAAGGCAACGUUCGGUAGCCGACCUGAGAGGGUGAUCGGCCAAACUGGAACUGAGACACGGCCAAGACUCCUACGGAAGGAAGAAGUGGGGAAUCUUGGCCAAUGGGCGAAGGCCUGCCGGAGCACGGCGGGGUGGUUGAGGAAGGUCUUCGGUUGGUAAAACCCGUUUGUAGGGAAGGAACAGAUGUAGAAUUAAAAGCGCAUGUAUUGACGGUACCUAACCAGAAAGCCACGGCUAACUACGUG